rnacentral:rRNA from 1 species
AAAAGAAACCAACAGGGAUUGCCCCAGUAACGGCGAGUGAAGCGGCAACAGCUCAAAUUUGAAAUCUGGCCCCCCGGGUCCGAGUUGUAAUUUGCAGAGGAUGCUUCGGGCGAGGUGCCUUCCGAGUUCCCUGGAACGGGACGCCACAGAGGGUGAGAGCCCCGUCUGGUCGGACACCGAGCCCGUGUGAAGCUCCUUCGAAGAGUCGAGUAGUUUGGGAAUGCUGCUCAAAAUGGGAGGUAUAUGUCUUCUAAAGCUAAAUAUUGGCCAGAGACCGAUAGCGCACAAGUAGAGUGAUCGAAAGAUGAAAAGCACUUUGAAAAGAGGGUUAAAAAGUACGUGAAAUUGUUGAAAGGGAAGCGCCCAUGACCAGACUUGGGCCCGGUGAAUCACCCGGCGUUCUCGCCGGUGCACUUUGCCGGGCACAGGCCAGCAUCAGUUUGGCGCGGGGGACAAAGGCUUCGGGAACGUGGCUCCCUCGGGAGUGUUAUAGCCCGCUGCGCAAUACCCUGCGCCGGACUGAGGUACGCGCAUCGCAAGGAUGCUGGCGUAAUGGUCAUCAGCGACCCGUCUUGAAACACGGACCAAGGAGUCGUCUUCGUAUGCGAGUGUUCGGGUGUCAAACCCCUACGCGGAAUGAAAGUGAACGCAGGUGAGAGCUUCGGCGCAUCAUCGACCGAUCCUGAUGUUCUCGGAUGGAUUUGAGUAAGAGCAUACGGGGCCGGACCCGAAAGAAGGUGAACUAUGCCUGUAUAGGGUGAAGCCAGAGGAAACUCUGGUGGAAGCUCGCAGCGGUUCUGACGUGCGAAUCGAUCGUCAAAUAUGGGCAUGGGGGCGAAAGACUAAUCGAACCUUCUAGUAGCUGGUUUC